UGCAGUCGAGCGAUGGAUUAAGAGCUUGCUCUUAUGAAGUUAGCGGCGGACGGGUGAGUAACACGUGGGUAACCUGCCCAUAAGACUGGGAUAACUCCGGGAAACCGGGGCUAAUACCGGAUAAUAUUUUGAACUGCAUGGUUCGAAAUUGAAAGGCGGCUUCGGCUGUCACUUAUGGAUGGACCCGCGUCGCAUUAGCUAGUUGGUGAGGUAACGGCUCACCAAGGCAACGAUGCGUAGCCGACCUGAGAGGGUGAUCGGCCACACUGGGACUGAGACACGGCCCAGACUCCUACGGGAGGCAGCAGUAGGGAAUCUUCCGCAAUGGACGAAAGUCUGACGGAGCAACGCCGCGUGAGUGAUGAAGGCUUUCGGGUCGUAAAACUCUGUUGUUAGGGAAGAACAAGUGCUAGUUGAAUAAGCUGGCACCUUGACGGUACCUAACCAGAAAGCCACGGCUAACUACGUGCCAGCAGCCGCGGUAAUACGUAGGUGGCAAGCGUUAUCCGGAAUUAUUGGGCGUAAAGCGCGCGCAGGUGGUUUCUUAAGUCUGAUGUGAAAGCCCACGGCUCAACCGUGGAGGGUCAUUGGAAACUGGGAGACUUGAGUGCAGAAGAGGAAAGUGGAAUUCCAUGUGUAGCGGUGAAAUGCGUAGAGAUAUGGAGGAACACCAGUGGCGAAGGCGACUUUCUGGUCUGUAACUGACACUGAGGCGCGAAAGCGUGGGGA
rnacentral:rRNA from 1 species